AGCCUAGUCCUCGCUGCCCUAGCCCGACACCAUGCCGCGAGAAGAGUGAUCAAUCUCUUCCCUUGUUUUCAUGAUGGAAGACUCGGGAAAGACCUUCAGCUCUGAGGAGGAAGAAGCUAACUAUUGGAAAGAUCUGGCAAUGACCUACAAGCAGAGGGCAGAGAAUACGCAAGAGGAACUCCGUGAAUUCCAGGAGGGAAGCCGAGAAUAUGAAGCUGAAUUGGAGACACAGCUGCAACAAAUCGAAACCAGGAACAGAGACCUCCUGUCAGAAAAUAACCGCCUUCGCAUGGAGCUGGAAACUAUCAAGGAGAAGUUGGAAAUGCAGCAUUCCGAAGGCUACCGGCAGAUCUCAGCCUUGGAGGACGAUCUUGCACAGACCAAAGCCAUCAAAGACCAAUUGCAGAAAUACAUCAGAGAGCUGGAGCAAGCCAAUGACGACUUGGAAGGAGCCAAGCGAGCCACGAUCAUGUCUCUGGAAGACUUUGAGCAGCGCUUGAAUCAAGCCAUUGAAAGAAAUGCCUUCCUGGAAAGUGAACUUGACGAGAAGGAGAAUCUCCUUGAAUCCGUUCAGAGACUGAAGGAUGAAGCCAGAGAUUUGCGCCAGGAAUUGGCCGUACAACAGAAGCAGGAGAAACCCAGGACGCCCUUGCCCAGCUCAGUGGAAGCUGAAAGAACAGACAUAGCUGUGCAGGCCACUGGCUCCAUACCCUCCACUCCCAUCACUCAUCGAGCACCCAGCUCCAGUUUAAACACACCAGGGACCUUCAGACGUGGCCUGGACGACUCCAUGGGAGGGACCCCCCUCACACCUGCAGCCCGGAUAUCAGCCCUCAACAUUGUGGGAGACCUGCUGCGGAAAGUGGGGGCACUGGAGUCCAAGCUUGCAUCCUGCUGGAACUUCGUGUAUGAUCAGUCCCCAAACCGAACAGGUGGCCCAGCCUCAGGGCGGGCGAACAAGAACAGGGACAGCGGUGACAGACGGCCAAACAGCACCAGUGUGCCUUUGGGGGAUAAAGGGAGAGAAAAUUGA